CCCCGGGGUGGCCUCCCCCGAUGUUUCCACGCCACGGCCUCCUGGCAUCGAGGGAGCCGGGAUGUUGCUUACCCUGUGGUCUUCCUGCGGCCUUCAGAGCCACUGCCCAGCUUGCUGGAGCCACAGUUAAAAAUAAUGCUCACAGCACAGGCCCCUGGGGGACAGCCAGUAUGGGUGCUGGAUGGGGGACAAACGAGCUCUCUCAAGUGCCCACUGGAUGCCAACUGCUUCAGAGACGUUAGAUCACAAAGUCUCACCAGAGCCUUGGGAGGGAGGGGUUGCCAUCCCAUUGACAGAUGGGAAAACCGAGGCCGGGGAGAGAUGGCACGCGCUGGUUCAAGGCUUCCUGACAGGAAGAGCCUAGGACCCAGUACAUCGUAGGUGCUCUGAGACCCAGGAGCCCACAGGACAUAUAGAAGAAAAGAAUGAACUUCUUUGGGACUUACCGUCACCUGUGAAGUGACUGCUUUCUACCUACUGGACAUGUGCAUGGAACCUCUUAACCACCACCGAGGCAAAGCCUGUAACCGGAAGCCCUCCCUGUUUCCACAGCCCCUUUCUAGGACCGCAACUGCAUUGACCUCACUGGGCUGCUGUUUGUUGAUGGGUGUGUCUUCCCCACCGGAUCAGCAGCUCCUGUGGGCAGGAACUGGGUCUGCCCAGCUCACCUGCAUCCCGGCCCUGCUCACCUGCAUCCCGGCCCUGCUCACCUGCAUCCCGGCCCUGCUCACCUGUGUCCUGGCCUUGCUUACUCAGCACAGUGUCUGACACACAGGCUGAAUGAAGAUUAAACCAGCUGCUUAUGUGUCCCCCGGGAGAAGCCUUCCCUGAUAGCACCGGUUGCUGUCUGUGUUUCACUGUGUGAUUAUUUGAUUUAGGGUCUGUGUCCCCGCUGGUCCCAAGAAGGCAAGGUCUAUGGCUGUUAUGUUCACCCUUGUUUCCCCAGUGCCUGGAACAGUGCUUGGAACUGAGUAGGUACUCAAAUAUUGCUUGAAAGAGUGAAUGAGCAGAUAAGCUAAUCAUGAGCCAUCUGGAGGUUUUGAAUUUUAUGUUUUAACCCAGUGGAGUCCAACUCAAAUCUGUCCAUUACCAUUCGCAGCAAACCCUGAGCCCUUCCUAAGGCCUAUGAGGUUCUGCAAGAUCAGGCUCCUGUUGUCCCCUCCAGUCUGCCCUUCCCUUCCCCCUGGCACCAAUGUCUCUGUUCCCCAGGGCACCGUGCAUGGUAGACACUCUCAGCCACCCCCUUCACACCCCAUCGUAAGUCAUGUCAGCAGAGUUGGCAUUUUCUGUAAACAAGACCACAUAGGAAAAUGGAGCACAUUUGCACAAUCUCAAUGUCACCAAUGGACCUUGGUCCCUGUGGGACAGUCUCCAAGGUUCGGCCAGCUAGCUUUCCAGGGCCUUGCCCUAAGAUGGGAUUUGAGUCCUAGCCUCAAAAGUGUUGCUUGGGUGGGAAGGAGGGGGUGUCCGGGGCACCCAGAGUCUGACCUUUGCCUUCUGCAGAAGGGAGGAAAGGAGUCUGUGGGGGGCCCAGAGAGCAGGGCUAACGAGCAGACCCCAGCGGGUCCUUGAGGCUCAGACCAGACCUCACCUCCUCCAGGAAGCUCCCCAGACCACCUUCCCUGCUUCUGUGAGCUGCUGCUCACACCCCAAUGGCAGCUUACACCACAUUCUGUGGAAACUCUCUCCCGGACUGUGCUCCUAGUGGAUAAGAGUAAAUCUUUCAUAUCUCCAUGUCCCCAAAGCCCAGGUCUGGCAUGUGGAGGGCAUCAGCAAACGUGUCCGGAUGGAUGAAAUUAUUAUUGAAUUCUCAAUUCCUGCCUGGGUUCAUAUUUACUGUCGCUCUCACUACGAUGGGAGCCCAAGGACCUCGUCUCCUUUGUCUUUGGUCCUCAGGGUCUAACACUGCUUGACCCAUAGGAGGCAGCAUGGACCAUAUUCCCGGUAAAUGAAUGAACCAGCCCUUCCUACCAUCCAUCAUAGCUGUCUCUCCCACUGUACUGGGAGCUCUGUGAGGUCGAGGACCGAGUCUUAUUUGUUUCUAGUGCCUCUGAGUCCAGCAUAGGGCUUGGCACAAAGGAGAUGCUUGGUAGGUGUUUGUGGAUGGAGGGAAGGAGAGAUGGUUGGAUAGAUGGGGGACAGAAGGAUGGAUAGAUGGACUGGUGAAUGAAGUAGGUGUUUGUGGAUGGAGGGAGGGAGAGAUGGUUGGAUAGUUGGGGGAUGGAAGGAUGGAUGGAUGGAUGGAUUGGUGGAUAAAGGGAUGGACAGAUAGAUGAUAAUUGAAUUUAUCAAUCAAUGGAAGAAUGAAUGGAAAGUUCCAUGGAGUGAGUGAAUAGAAUGGGUGCAUGGAAUGGUGUGGGUAGGUUGAAGGGCAGGUAGAUAAAUGGAGAAAUGGAAGCCUGAGUAGGUCCAUACUACAGUCUGGGAUGAGAAUGUGGGAAAUAUUGCUUUCUAUACCCUGCCCCACCCCCACACACAAAACCACCAUUUUAGAACUAAAGUAAAUCCAAAGAAUGACUCAACUUGGGUUGAGUUUUCAAGUGGAAGAUAUUUAGGAGAAAAAAAUGUAUAAAAAGGAAGAACCUCUGAGCCUCUAAAAUUUUCAAGCAAAACCCUGUAUAUUGGUCAUGCUUUCUUGCAUCGUUUGUGUUAUUUAUUGUGGGCCUAUCCUCUGGAGUGCCCUGGGUUCAGUCUGGAAAUGGAAACAAAUUUCAGAUGUGGACCUCACUGACCCCAGGUUGCUCAGGAUGUGGUCAGAGAGUCAGACAUAGGCUCACACAUCUUCCGUUGAUCUUCUUGUUGGAAGCGUGGUAUACAGACUCCUUUCCUGUGUGACUUCAAGCAAUCUGCUUGACUUCUCUGGAUUCUGAUUCGCUCAUCUUGCUUGUAGGGUUGUUGUGAGCCCAUGCUGAUGAAGGGCGGAGCCAGGUCUGAGUUACAGCAGGUGGCUGGUAAAUGAGAAGUGGGGCCUCAGGGCAUGACGCCAGCUGACCUUCUCAACUCUUCCUUCUCUUUCUGUCAACUCAUUGCAACCACCCACAGUGAGGGCCAUGAACCUGUGAGGGGCUCAGAUUGAGAGAUCUAGUACACCUGGGUUCAAAGCCGGUCUCCUCCCCUCCUCAGCUGCCUGGUUCCAUACCAACCCCAUGGCCUGUCUGAACCUCAGUUCCCACGUCUACCUCCCAGGACCCCUUGCUGUUUCUCAGACACAGCUGUCAUGCCUACACCCAGGCUGCAAGAGAGGCUAAGAAAGUAAGUUUUCUGGCAUCUACCUUGGGGAGGCAUGGGCUCCUAAGUUUGGUUUCCUUCUACCCAGCUUUGCUCUGAGACACAGAAGGGGUGUCUGGAAGAGCAAAUAGAGGGUAUCUGCUUCUCACCCCAUCUGGAAAAGAAGCUCAACCCUUGCUAUUCCAGUAUCCCACCUGUUUAUAUGUCCAGCAGUUUAUACCACAUGACUUUACUAACUUAUUUGUUCCCUUACUUUCUAAUCUAUUCUCCCAACACUGAUAUUGUCCACAUCAUGAGGGGCGAGUCUUUAUCUUGAUCAUUUCUAUGUCCUCAGGGCCUAAAGCCCAUCCAGGCACAUAGUUUGUGUUAAAUAAAUGGUUGGAUAAAUAAAUGGAUAGAUGAUUGGAUGGACAGAUGGAUGGGUGGAUGGGUAGAUGAUGAAGGGAUGGA